GACGAACGCUGGCGGCGUGCCUAAUACAUGCAAGUCGAACGCAGUGGGGACGGGUGAGUAACACGUGGGUAACCUCCCAUCAGAGGGGAUAACACUUGGAAACAGGUGCUAAACCGAUACUGAUGGAUGGACCCGCGGGGCAUUAGCGAGUUGGUGGGGUAACGGCUCACCAAGGCUACGAGGCAUAGCCGGCCUGAGAGGGUGAUCGGCCACACUGGGACUGAGACACGGCCCAGAGUCCUACGGGAGGCAGCAGUAGGGAAUUUUCGGCAAUGGACGAAAGGCUGAUCAAGCAACGCCGCGUGUGUGAAGAAGGUUUUCGGAUCGUAAAACUCUGUUGUUAGAGAAGCGUUAUCUAAACAGAAAGCCACGGCUAACUACGUGCCAGCAGCCGCGGUAAUUC
rnacentral:rRNA from 1 species